UCAGCCGCCGCGGUAAUACCAGCAGCCCGAGUGGUGGUCGCGUUUAUUGGGCCUAAAGCGCUCGUAGCCUGGCCGGUAAGUUCCCCGUGAAAUCGGGUCGCCCAACGAUUCGGCUUGCGGGGAAUACUGUCGGUCUUGGGGCCGGGAGACGCCGAGGGUACUCCGGGGGUAGCGGUGAAAUGCUGUAAUCCUCGGGGGACUACCAGUGGCGGAGGCGCUCGGCGAUAACGGGCCUGACGGUGAGGGGCGAAAGCUGGGGGCGCGAACGGGAUUAGAUACCCCGGUAGUCCCAGCCGUAAAGGAUGCGGGCAAGGUGCUCGUCGCUCUUCGAGGGCGCCGGGUGCCGUAGAGAAGUCGUUAAGCCCGCCGCCUGGGAAGUACGGUCGCAAGGCUGAAACUUAAAGGAAUUGGCGGGGGAGCACAAGAAUUGGCGGG
rnacentral:rRNA from 1 species